UACGUAGGCAGCAAGCGUUGUUCGGAGUUACUGGGCGUAAAGGGUGCGUAGGCGGCUCUGUAAGUAUGGUGUGAAAUCUCCCGGCUUAACUGGGAGGGUGCGCUAUAGACUGCGGGGCUCGAGUGUGGGAGAGGAAAGUGGAAUUCCUGGUGUAGCGGGUGAAAUGCGCAGAUAUCGGGAAGAACACCCGUGGCCGAAGGCGGCAGCUCGUGGACGGUACUGGACGCUGAGACGCGAAAGCGUGGGGAGCGAACAGG
rnacentral:rRNA from 1 species